GACGAACGCUGGCGGCGUGCCUAAUACAUGCAAGUCGAACGAGAGCGCCCGGUGCUUGCACUGGUCAAUCUAGUGGCGAACGGGUGAGUAACACGUGGGUAACCUGCUCAUCAGAGGGGGAUAACAUCCGGAAACGGAUGCUAAAACCGCAUAGGUCUUCGAGCCGCAUGGCUUGAAGAGGAAAAGAGGCGCAAGCUUCUGCUGAUGGAUGGACCCGCGGUGCAUUAGCUAGUUGGUGAGGUAACGGCUCACCAAGGCCGUGAUGCAUAGCCGACCUGAGAGGGUGAUCGGCCACAUUGGGACUGAGACACGGCCCAAACUCCUACGGGAGGCAGCAGUAGGGAAUCUUCCGCAAUGGACGCAAGUCUGACGGAGCAACGCCGCGUGAGUGAAGAAGGUUUUCGGAUCGUAAAACUCUGUUGUUAGAGAAGAACAAGUGCUAGAGUAACUGUUAGCGCCUUGACGGUAUCUAACCAGAAAGCCACGGCUAACUACGUA
rnacentral:rRNA from 1 species